rnacentral:lncRNA from 1 species
AUAUGUAUACAAUAUAGAGCUAUCUCCAAUAUUUUUCACAUAUUACAAGUGAUUGUCGAACUUCAUAUGUAUACCUCGCCGGACUUUAUUAUUUCUCCACCGGCUUCUCCACCAGCUUCUCCAUCAGUGGAGCUAUCACCUUCUCCGUCAUUGGACCUAUCUCCUGCCCCAUCGGCUUCAUCUUCGUGUCGGCCGACCUCCAUUCCAUAUCCGGAGGGGUUUAGAUAUGACGACGGAGAUUCAGCUGGUUCAACGUCGGGGCCGUCUUUGAUUAUAU